AACGAACGCUGGCGGCAUGCCUAACACAUGCAAGUCGAACGAGACCUUCGGGUCUAGUGGCGCACGGGUUCGUAACGCGUGGGAACCUGCCCUUAGGUUCGGAAUAACUCCCCGAAAGGGGUGCUAAUACCGGAUAAUGUCUUCGGACCAAAGAUUUAUCGCCUUUGGAUGGGCCCGCGUUGGAUUAGCUAGUUGGUAGGGUAAAAGCCUACCAAGGCGACGAUCCAUAGCUGGUCUGAGAGGAUGAUAAUCCACACUGGGACUGAGACACGGCCCAGACUACUACGGGAGGGAGCAGUGGGGAAUAUUGGAAAAUGGGCGAAAGCAUGAACAAGCAAUGACGCGUGAGUGAUGAAGGCCUUAGGGUAGUAAAGCUCUUUUAAAAGGGAUGAUAAUGACAGUAACGGGAGAAUAAGCUCCGGCUAACUCCGUG
rnacentral:rRNA from 1 species